rnacentral:lncRNA from 1 species
GACAAACACUAUUUUUCAGCAUGAAGACAAAAGAAAAAGUGUUCAACAUGAGGUGCAAACUUCAUAUUUUCUCCCUGAAACUAGG